AGGGGUAUAGCUCAGUGGUAGAGUGCAUGCUUUGCAUGUAUGAGGCCCUGGGUUUGAACCCUGGCACCUCUA
rnacentral:tRNA from 2 species